UGGGGUGUGGCUCAGUGGUAGAGCACUUUCCCAGCAUGUGUGAGGCACUGGGUUCGAUUCUCAGCACCGCAU
rfam:Ictidomys tridecemlineatus contig101823, whole genome shotgun sequence.